AAGACAGCAGAAAGCCUUUAGCAGGUCGCACGGUAGGGAGAUUGCAUGUGUGGCAGAAGGAACACGUGAGAAGGUUGCCAUGGUGGACAGCAGAAAAAUUGCAGCCGAUGGCACAGCGGUGGGGAGGAAAACAUAGGAAGCUUGCAAGCGCGUGGCCUGCGAAAGAAGCAUCUGAAGAGAUGGCAUGUCUGGCAGAGGACACAUUGGGCAAGAUUCCACGUUUGGCAGCAGGCCCGUGAGCGGCGACAGACGCGUAUGGGCCUGUGGCAACCUCGGUUCCUGCCUCCUGAGAAGAAAGACAUCGAGUGGCACACGGUAGAGUGAGAGACCGAGGCACGCAUUAGAGCAGGGGCGAAAGUUCCUGAAAUGGUAUCGUGGCAGGAGCCAAAGGAAGUCAAGGAGGCUUGGAAGAGGCCCAGGUGGGCGGUGACCUGAGAGGUGGAGUACAGGACUGGACCUUGGACUCAGGGUCUCCCGCGUCGGCAGCAUCGCUGCCUGUCCUCUGAUGCUUCCCUCGGCGGGGAAGAGGGGGCUGUUCACUAGCACAGUGGCCUGUCACCAUCUCAUGGGGGCGCGGAGGCGCCGUGUGCUUACUGGAGUUGUUCUCAUGCUCUCUUGAGGCGUUCGUCCCACAAGCAGAUGAAUGUGCCCAGGGGAAAACAUCCCAGAUCAGUGAACCUUCCACCAGUUUGCCUCUCAGGGUGCACGUAUGAGCCCAUUCACCCAACUCCCGAGGUGUGCUGGGGAGGCUUCUGAGGUUCGUGACUGCUGUCGGGGAGGGGGACUGCCUUUCCCUGGUGCUGCCUGUGAUCAGUGAUUUCUCUAGAGAGUCUGCUUCGUGACCACCGGGCCAUCACCUUGUGGCUGCCUGAUGUUUACUGGUGGUGGGGAACCCUCUCGGGCCCCGCUCCACACGUGUGACUGAGAGGGACACCUGACAGGAUUGAACGCGUGGCAGAUCAUCCGACGAGAUGGAGUGUCUGGUGGAAGGAACAUCUGACAGCCCUGAGCGUGUGGCAGAGGGAACAUCUAAGCAGACUGCAGCGAUUUCAGAAGGAACGGCUAAGAACAUCGCAUGGUCAGCAGGAGGAAACCUUAGGGUCGCACGGUGGGCAGAAGGAACCUCUGAGCAGAUUCCAUGGUGGGCAGACGGAAUGCCUAGGAAGAGUGCGUGGCUUGCAAAGGAAGCAUCUGGAAAGAGGGAACAUCUGGGAGAGAAAACAUCCACCAAGAUGGAGCGUUUGGCGAAGAGCCAUGUGACGGGAUCCGUGGUUUGGCAGAGGAGACAUGCGAGAAGACGGAACGUUUUGUCCGAAUAGACAUCUGGCAGGGUGGAACGGAGAGAACAGGUAUGGUGGAGAGAACGUCUGAGAAGGUCGCAGGAUUCGCAGGAGCAUCGGGAAAAGAUUGCCUGCUUGCCCGAAGGAAUGGCAAGUUCCAAAGCUGUGCUGUGGGCAGUGUUUAGUUCAUGUCUGCUUUGCUGGCGGGCCGAGUAGCAACAGCUGCAGUUGGUGUGUUCUCUGAAGGCAGUAUCCGAAGGCUGGAGGGGUUGCUUUUCUUCCCAGGUGUCUUUUGAAGAGGCAGUCAAGUCAGCAGCUCGCGGUGACCUUCUGGUAACAUCGUAUGGGCUGGGUUACAGCACAUGCCGACUGCUAAGCCGGUCACUGGGGAAAACCAUGUG
rnacentral:lncRNA from 1 species